rnacentral:rRNA from 1 species
UACGUAGGUGGCAAGCGUUGUCCGGAUUUACUGGGCGUAAAGCGCGCGCAGGCGGUCGGAUAAGUGGCAUGUGAAAGCCCCCGGCUCAACUGGGGAGGGUCAUUCGAGACUGUUCGACUCGAAGGCAGGAGAGGGAAGUGGAAUUCCCGGUGUAGUGGUGAAAUGCGUAGAUAUCGGGAGGAACACCAAUGGCGAAGGCAGCUCGCUGGAACGGUACUGACGCUGAGGCGCGAAAGCGUGGGGAGCGAACAGG